UUGCUCUCACUUGGGCAGCACAUAUACUAAAAUUGGAACAAUACAGAGAAGAUUAGCACGGCCCCUGCGCAAGGAUGACACGCAGAUUCCCAAAGUGUUCCAUAUUUUU
ensembl:snRNA U6 U6 spliceosomal RNA